GAAACAUCUAAUAAAUUUGGAACGAUACAGAGAAGUUUGGAAGACCCCUGUGCAAGGAUGACACACACAAAUCGAGAAAUGGUCCAAUUUUUG
rnacentral:snRNA from 1 species